rnacentral:rRNA from 1 species
CAGCCGCCACGGUAAUACGAAGGGGGCUAGCGUUGUUCGGAUUUACUGGGCGUAAAGCGCACGUAGGCGGAUCGAUCAGUCAGGGAUGAAAUCCUGGAGCUCAACUCCAGAACUGCCUUUGAUACUGUCGAUCUCGAGUCCGGAAGAGGUGAGUGGAAUUCCUAGUGUAGAGGUGGAAUUCGUAGAUAUUAGGAAGAACACCAGUGGCGAAGGCGGCUCACUGGUCCGGUACUGACGCUGAGGUGCGAGAGCGUGGGGAGCAAACAGGAUUAGAUACCCCCGUAGUCCCUGUCUCUUAUAC